rnacentral:rRNA from 1 species
CCUACGCGUGGCAGCAGUGGGGAAUAUUGCACAAUGGGGGAAACCCUGAUGCAGCGACGCCGCGUGAGUGAAGAAGUAAUUCGUUACGUAAAGCUCUAUCAGCAGGGAAGAAACACUGACCUUACGGUCAGCAGAAGGUACCUGAGUAAGAAGACCCGGCUAACAACGUGCAAGCAGCCGCGGUAAUACGUAGGGGGCAAGAGUUAUCCGGAUUUACUGGGGGUAAAGGGAGCGUAGACGGGGCGCCAAGUCUGGAGUGAAAUGCCGCAGCUUAACUGCGGAACUGCUUUGGAAACUGGCGAACUAGAGUGCGUGAGGGGUAAUCGGAAUUCCUAGUGUAGCGGUGAAAUGCGUAGAUAUUAGGAGGAACACCGGUGGCGAAGGCGGCUUACUGGACCGUAACUGACGUUGAGGCUCGAAAGCGUGGGGAGCAAACAGGAUUAGAUACCCCUGUAGUC